ensembl:snRNA U6 U6 spliceosomal RNA
GUGCUGGCUUCGGCAGCACACAUACUAAAAUUGGAACAAUAUAAAGAAGAUUAGCAUGGUCCCUGCGAGAGGAUGACACGCAAAUUCGUGAAGUGUUCCAUAUUAAA